rnacentral:rRNA from 1 species
UACGUAGGGUGCAAGCGUUGUCCGGAAUUAUUGGGCGUAAAGAGCUCGUAGGCGGUUUGUCGCGUCUGCUGUGAAAACCCGAGGCUCAACCUCGGGCCUGCAGUGGGUACGGGCAGACUAGAGUGCGGUAGGGGAGAUUGGAAUUCCUGGUGUAGCGGUGGAAUGCGCAGAUAUCAGGAGGAACACCGAUGGCGAAGGCAGAUCUCUGGGCCGUAACUGACGCUGAGGAGCGAAAGCAUGGGGAGGGAACAGG